UAGGAUUAUCUGUUUGUUUGAAACCAAUUCUUGUAUCCACCCUACAGAUAAGGCGAAAUGCUCACAUGAACUCGAGUAUAAAGAACUGAGGGGGAAAAUACUGAUCUAGAGAAUGAAAUACUUGUUUCAAAACUGCCAUCACAAGACGACUGAACGCGAUUUAAGGCUCAAGCAUCAAAGGACCAGGAUUUCAGCACAUAUCCUGCCAUCCUGUCUUUGGAAUUGGAAUGAAGGAAGGAGGGCAUUUGGAGUCUGGCAUUGGCAGUGCUGGCUGGCUGCUUUCCUCAGGCUGCUGGAGCUGUUUCCACGCACUAGGGGGCAAGACAGGUGUGGACCAGGGCUGUGUCGCUUCCCUUUUCAACCACCUAGAUACUUAUUUUGAUUUAGAUGGAUCAUCUUUCAGAUGGAUUUUUCAUUUUGGGGUGUAAUUGCCUUUCUUCUUUCUGAGUACCUGUAACUUUUGGUGACUUCUCUGAAUAUCUCUAAUGCAAGACCUUCUCUAAUCAACCAUAAUGAUCUCUCC
rnacentral:lncRNA from 1 species